rnacentral:rRNA from 1 species
CCUACGGGUGGCAGCAGUGAGGAAUAUUGGUCAAUGGACGAGAGUCUGAACCAGCCAAGUAGCGUGAAGGAUGACUGCCCUAUGGGUUGUAAACUUCUUUUAUAUGGGAAUAAAACGUUCCACGUGUGGGAUUUUGUAUGUACCAUAUGAAUAAGGAUCGGCUAACUCCGUGCCAGCAGCCGCGGUAAUACGGAGGAUCCGAGCGUUAUCCGGAUUUAUUGGGUUUAAAGGGAUCGGAGGUGGAUUGUUAAGUCAGUUGUGAAAGUUUGCGGCUCAACCGUAAAAUUGCAGUUGAAACUGGCAGUCUUGAGUACAGUAGAGGUGGGCGGAAUUCGUGGUGUAGCGGUGAAAUGCUUAGAUAUCACGAAGAACUCCGAUUGCGAAGGCAGUUCACUGGACUGCAACUGACACUGAGGCUCGAAAGUGUGGGUAUCAAACAGGAUUAGAUACCCCUGUAGUC